ACACGGAGGGCGCGAGCGUUGUUCGGAAUCACUGGGCGUAAAGCGCACGUAGGCGGUUGGAUAAGUCGCUUGUGAAAGGCCGGGGCUCAACCCCGGGAUUGCAGGCGAUACUGUUCGACUGGAGCACGGUAGAGGCAAGUGGAAUUCCCGGUGUAGCGGUGGAAUGCGUAGAUAUCGGGAAGAACACCAGUGGCGAAGGCGGCGCUCUGGAACGUCUCUGACGCUGAGGUGCGAAAGCGUGGGGAGCAAACAGGAUUAGAUACCCCGGUAGUCC
rnacentral:rRNA from 1 species